AAUUCUCAACCCCUCUCGAUUUGCUUCGAUAGGGUGCUUGGAUACUGGGGGCUGCCGGAGACCUGGACUCUCGUCUAGGACUCGGGCUCUCCUGAAAUGAAUCGGCUUGCGGUCGACUUUCGACUUUGCAUGACAAGGCUUUUGGCGUGAUAAUGAUCGCCGUUCGCUGAAGUGCAUGAAUGAAUGGUCCCGUGCCUCUAAUGCGUCGACGCCUUUUUGGCGUCUUCCUUAUUGAC
rnacentral:misc_RNA from 1 species